UGGAGGGCGGAGAGGGGAGGGACUGGAGGGGGGUGAUGAGCAGCCACUCUGACAGCAGCAUCUCCGCGCUGUCGCCCUGCGCUCGUCAGCAGUCACUGGGAACGGGCCCAGACUCCUCCAGCUUGGCUUCAUUAACAGUCCGGAUGCUGACCGUCCACUUGCGCUGCUGAUCCAUAUUUCCAAAACGGUCGAGUAGAGUUUGGUGACCUACUUCGAAGACAAAAGUUCCCGCCUUAUGAAACAAUGGUGAAGUUGCUGGAGGUAAAGGAACAUUUUCUAUCAAGGCGUUUUGCAGCUGAGACGCGCGCAAAGGAGUAAAAAAACGCAUGGACACCGGACACCAGAGGAGAAUUAGGGGAACCUGUGGAUUUAAAGUGACCAACGUGCUACUGGUGCAGACCCCUGAAGUAUGAUGUAACCAGCCUGAAGGCUUUCCAGUAAACCAUGGAGCCUGAUCUGAGGGUGGGCCUGUCCGUGUGGGCCAUUGCGGCCAUCGUUUGUAACUCUGUGGUAGGCGUUCUCAUCCUCAUCCUUUUCGUCAUCCUCUAUAAGGCCUGCAAGGUGCCUUCACAUCAAGAGAAAGUGCCUGCAUCACCCCUGGAGCAGAAGAAGCCUGAACAGAAGUACCUGCUGACCGCAGCUUGAUAAUGAUACAAGAUUCAGCUUUGUCAAUCAAGCAGACAUCGAGCAGACGUUGAGUUACAGAGCGUUCAAAGGUCACCUUAUGUAUUUGUCUUCCACUUCAGCUACUCCUGUCAUUUAUUUACUCUGUACUUACUUUUGUUUUACAUACACUUCACGUUUCUCCAUCAUCAGCCCCUCAUCAGCGCCAUUCAGUGGAGCUUAGAGUGAGCUAACUGCAUUAAGAGUUGUGGCAAGACCAACAACAACGAGCAGGCCCAAUCCUCUUAUCUCUGCCGUGCGUCGCUGGGACUGCCCAUCUGUCAGCCUGUUUGCUUUUCUCUACACAGGCGGACCAUGAUCUCCUCCUCUACUCAAUUCUUUUUCAUCCCUUCAUACGAGACAGCCGAGAGGAUGCGCAGAAGAAACGGCAAAAACACAACGGAUUGUAACGGGAGAGUCUGGGGUGAUGGGUUUGGUUGAGUGUCACAAUAACACAAUGUUAGGGAUAAAGAGAGAAAGCAUCUCUGUAGCUCACAAGCCGCUUGGUGUUUGCCAGCUGCAUCUUUAAUGAUGGCGGUGUGACAGCUGCAAACAGACGACAGGUAGAGACCAAAAGAGCCUGAAAGAGUCAGGAAGGAGAGGGAUGCUGCAGGAGGCAGUGUGAGUCACUCAAGCCAGGGCGAGGAGGCAGACAGGCGGAGAUAAAGGGCAGAUAUUUGGUGGGGAUGAUAAAGUGCAGGGGGAAGAAUUGUGCUUUGAUGUUUUGUUUACAGAGAGGGAGCUCGAGGCCCCUGUUUGACACUCUCCCCAUUUGACACACAAGUCUCUGCUUCUGCCGAUCCGACUCCCAUGGGAUUAAAAGCAACAGCAAAAUUGUUACUCGUGUCCCGAUGUGCCUCGCUUUCAUUUUGUGAGCUCCUGUAAAGACUGAAUAAGAUAUUUAUAGACAGCCUUCACCAGAAACGACAGACUGAACACUCACAGUCUCACAGUAACAAGCAAAUAUUGGAUUUAUUGUAGUGAAUGUGCUGCAGUUAACACACCGACCGUGUCAUAACAAUGUUGUCUGAAGGGUGGAAGAGUAAUGGGAUACACCAGUAUAACAAAACAAUCUUAAAUGUAUCUCCACAUAAUCAAAAUAUAAAGCGCUGCAUGUCUUUCUAGACUCAUAUGUACACACAAUUCAUACAUCAAUGAAAGGGCUCUUCACAGAAAUGUGCUUUAGUUUGUGUUUUGACAAACAUCAGUUUGAAUCUGACCUCAGGUAUGAGCUAACUCACUUUUAGUCCGAAAAUUAUGUUUUACUUAAUUGGUGUGAUAUUUCUGUGCAAUCUAAAUGUAACGAUGAACAGGGAUUUGUGCUGAAAUGACCGAGCUGUUUAAUCAAAAUAAAAAGAAUUUAAGACGU